rnacentral:rRNA from 1 species
CAGCCGCCGCGGUAAUACGGAGGGUGCAAGCGUUAAUCGGAAUUACUGGGCGUAAAGCGCACGCAGGCGGUCUGACAAGUCAGAUGUGAAAUCCCCGGGCUUAACCUGGGAACUGCAUUUGAAACUGUCAGGCUGGAGUCUUGUAGAGGGGGGUGGAAUUCCAGGUGUAGCGGUGAAAUGCGUAGAGAUCUGGAGGAAUACCGGUGGCGAAGGCGGCCCCCUGGACAAAGACUGACGCUCAGGUGCGAAAGCGUGGGGAGCAAACAGGAUUAGAUACCCCUGUAGUCCCUGUCUCUUAUAU